GACGAACGCUGGCGGCGUGCUUAACACAUGCAAGUCGAACGGAAAGGCCCUGCUUUUGUGGGGUGCUCGAGUGGCGAACGGGUGAGUAACACGUGAGUAACCUGCCCUUGACUUUGGGAUAACUUCAGGAAACUGGGGCUAAUACCGGAUAGGAGCUCCUGCUGCAUGGUGGGGGUUGGAAAGUUUCGGCGGUUGGGGAUGGACUCGCGGCUUAUCAGCUUGUUGGUGGGGUAGUGGCUUACCAAGGCUUUGACGGGUAGCCGGCCUGAGAGGGUGACCGGGCACAUUGGGACUGAGAUACGGCCCAGACUCCUACGGGCGGCAGCAGUGGGGAAUAUUGCACAAUGGGCGGAAGCCUGAUGCAGCAACGCCGCGUGCGGGAUGACGGCCUUCGGGUUGUGAACCGAUUUCGCCUGUGACGAAGCGUGAGUGACGGUAAUGGGUAAGGAAGCACCGGCUAACUACGUG
rnacentral:rRNA from 1 species